rnacentral:rRNA from 1 species
UACAGAGGAGCCAAGCGUUGUCCGGAUUGACUGGGCGUAAAGCGCACGCAGGCGGUUGCGCGCGUGGGGGGUGAAAUCUGGCCGCUUAACGGCCAGGCGCCAUCCCAUACGGCGCGACUGGAGUGAUGCAGAGGUCGAUGGAAUUGCCGGUGUAGUGGUGAAAUGCGUAGAGAUCGGCAGGAACACCCAGGGGGAAACCAGUCGACUGGGCACCUACUGACGCUGAGGUGCGAGAGCGUGGGGAGCGAACAGG